UUUCUUUUUUUUCCUGAAAUACAGAUCUAAAUAUUGCAUUCAUUUCAUUUAUCCCAAACCUUGUCAAAGAGGAUUCUGAUUAGAAAAUGAGAAAUAGUCUAUUACAAUGAAUAAACAUUCAAUAUCUCUCUGUUGCACCAUUCAAAACAUCUAUAAAUACAUAGAUAAUUUUUCCUUUUUUUCUAGCACUUUUUCCAUCCCUGAUCUGUAUUUAUUCAUGGCAUACACCAAAAGCCUUCCACUGGUAAUAACAAGCUUCACUGACAUGCAAUUUUUACAGCUGUUACAAACAAAAAACCCCCAAAUUCUGGUGUCCAUUUAUAUAAUAAAUUCCCAAAUGUGUAACUUUUGAGUGCUUAUACAUAAAUCUGUGUUCUUAAACGCAGAUUUAAAACAAAGGUGUAAUUUAUGUAGCAUGAUACUAAUCUUCAUCCCUGCAGCAGCACCAUUAAAUAGAGAUACUUCAUAGGAGCAAGAACAGAGUAUUUUGGACACAAAGUGAAAAACAAGAGAAAACUGGAAGAGAAAAGUAGGUCAAGAAGAGUGACUUUCUUUUUAUAUUAUUUCUACCGUGUCCACAUGUCAGUGUGGCGUUGCCAGCUUCCCACAGAAAGCAAGCAAAAGCCAAAAAGUAGGAGCAAACCUGAAAGCUAGUUUCAGGCUUCAUCGCUGAACUUCCUGGCUUCUGUGAGGUCAUGUCAAUACCUAAGUAGUAAUUCCGAUCUAUAUAAGCUAAAAUCUUAUGGUUUAAUAAUGCUUUCAAAUGUUGGAUUUUUAGAAUAAUCAUAUCACUAUAAGUGUCUCUAUAUUUUCCAGAACUGGUAAGUUCUUUUUGCAUCUUAAAAUAUACAUUGGAAUGUGAUGCUCUCUAAAAACAUCCUGUCUUAAAUUAUGGCACAUUAACCUGGAAAAUGCUUUUUUCUGGAUUACUCAAAUCUAGAUUACUCAAAAAUCUUUUUUUCUACACAGCAAAAGGAAUGGUUAUUAGCAAAAGAAGUGAAAUUUUUAUUUCAAUUUCACAUGUGGACAUCCUUCCAGUGCAUACUGAGAUUACAGCUGAUUUCAGCAUCAGAUGCAUUGAACUUGUGCAGCAUCUUCUCUGAUGUUACUGAGACUGCAAUUAUUAUAUUUUUUUUCUGCUACUUGGAAGAAGUAAAAUCACAUGUAUCCCAGCUGGUACAAAAUACUAAACCAUAGAUAACAAAUAUACACCAAGGAAGAGGAUAGAAGGAUUUUUUUAAACUCAUGUAUGACUGGGCAUUACGGUGUUCUUUUCCAGGAAGAAAUGUUAUGCUGCUCACAACAAAUCAACAGUCUUCUAAAUACCAUCUACCCACCAGCACAUUCCAGAUUAUUCUCCUUUUAUACUCCUCAUCUAACAAAACCUAAAAACCAAGCAAGAAUAUAUUUUGUUUCACUGCUUCAGUAGCAAGAUGGACGAAGAGCUUUACCAGUCUCAUCAGUGUCUAGUUCCUCUCGCACAUGAGAUUUAUAUUUCUCAGUGUCAGUGUCCUUAGAAGAAGAGUGAACACAGCAUUCAGAAUCAUUAGUCAUCUUUCAUGCUCUGGAGGUCCUUCUCAACCAAUUUAGUAAAGAACAAUGCUGUGCAAAAGAGACAGGAUGGCUGCUAAUGACAGGCAACAGUUCAAUAUUUUAUGCCACCUCAAAAAAGUUUCAGUAACUGAAGGUGUUCUCACAUUAAUUCUUUGCAUCAAUUAUUGACAGAGAAUUUAAUUUAAAGGCAACUAGUCAGUAACCUAGGGGUACUGUUUUAAAUAAUUUAUAAUUGCUGCAUGGGUGUAAUCAUAUUGCUAUUGAUUAAGAUCCAGUCACUUCUACCAGUCCAGCAUGUCUUAUGCUAAUUAAUUUUAGUGAUAUCACCUUUUUAACUCUGUAUUCCCUGGUAACAGGAACUCAUUAUUAAAAAAUAAUUUAAUCAGGAGCAAUCUUUUAAAGUUUAUUUGAUUAGUACUUGCUAGGCCAUUGAAAAAGUUAAAAGAAAGUUAAUACAAGGAUAAAAGUCCAGCAUGGGCAUGAAUAAACUGGAACACUAGGAGGAGGUAAUAAAAAAAGUACUAAAGGGGGUCUAUACCUGAUCUUUUGGAGUCUUUCCAUUGAGAUUAGGGUGCUGGAUGGAAGCAUGGGUAGACUAGACAUCAUAUAUACGUUCAGUAUCACCAAGGACACAGGUCAGGGACUAAGAAGACAAUGAGUAUAAUCGUAUCUACUGAAGUCAAAAUAUUUAGCCUAUAAGUAAAAUGACAAACCCUGUAAUUUGAACUUGACACAUGCUAGGAACAAACAUCCACAAACUAAUGCCACAAAGGACAUGAAAUCUUCGUCCCUGAAGACACCAUUAUGUAAAUUAAAUUGAAUCUAGUCCACUUUGAGGUUUGCAAUCAAAUGGGUAUUUUUAAUAUCAAUAAAAAUUGAGCUUUCCCCAGAGAAUCCAAAUCAAGCUGCUUUCGCAGAACAAAAGGAAAAUGCUGAAACAUAUAUGCUUUUAAGAUAACUCAAUGAAUGUAAAACUGUUAGCAAAAUCAGU
ensembl:lncRNA